UCUCAAGCCAUUCCCACCACCGUUCACUCCCACAGAUUGCUCAAUGCGUUCCUUUGGUCUCUGCUGCAGGCCCUGGCGAUGACAGUGCCUUCACCUCCAGGAAUACUGACCUCCUUUUCCAAGCUGAAUCUCUUCCCUUCUCCCAGAAGGGAGGCCUGCCUCUAUCUGCUAUGUUCUCCUGGCAGCAACUUUCCCAGCUCCUUCUCCUGGGCCAAGAGCACAUGCUCAUGUCCAGUUAUGUCUUAAAGGGCUGAAAGUCUACCACGCUCCGCAAACUCAUCGUCCUCGUCUGCUACUGAUUGUUCACUGUGUCUCAGGCCUUGUAUUGCUUUCUUCAGCCCUCAAAUGCAAGGUCACAAGUGUGUCCUGUGUUAAGAAAGACUGGGACACGCUGGUCUGAGGACAAAAACCCUAGCUCAUUUUGUUCUAUUCCCGGAACGGCAAGUGCUUGCUGGAGAUUAUUCAUCCACGGUUCGGAAGCGCUGUGAGCCUGUUUACUGCUGCAUCCUUCUGCUCUGUUACAUAACACAAGAGGACAGACUCUGGAAAACACGAAAGGGGGGACGCUCGCAUAAGAACAUCGUGUGAGAUACCUCAAGCUCUCUCCACCUUCUGUUAAAAGCCACGUUCCCCGAGCUCACAAGUUUCCUUUGGUGAACAAUUGCAAUGUAUAGUCAGAGUUUGAAUGGUUGCCAACUAAAAUUCUUGCAUCGAGCUCCAUGGCUCUCUGUUCCACCAAGACAAAUAAGAGUGGCCCCAACCCCUCACUUAGAGCAUUGUUCACGGUGCUGAGCCGUGAUUUUCCAUAUCUGUCUUUGUGUUCACCCCAGGAGGAAGGGUGAGCCUGGUUUAUUGAGUUCUUAUUUCUCACAAAGCGGUAACAUCUGGAGGGCUGAGCAGUUUGUUGGCAGGUCCAGUCUGAAGGAAUUCGGCCAUGAUUCCGAUUGGCUCUUAUCAGUAGGUGUCACUAAAGACAGUUUCAGAGACAGAAAAAUAAAUAGGCCAAUUAAGUAAUGCCAAGAACAGCCUAUUUUAUAGUCAUUUCUGCUCCUUUUAUUGUUGUUCCAACUGCAGAAGUUUCAAGAUUGUAAUUAUCCCCGGCUUUCCCCCCCUGCUGCAAAUGAACAUUUUUCCAUUUUCCAAAUGCCUCCAAGAGAGGGACAUUUAAUUAAUAUAUUUAUUUUGUGGUGCUUGAUGUAGUGGGUUAGCAAAAUGAAAACAGAUGAAGGCUAUUAAUUCUAACACUUUAUUGCAAUGAAGCUACAGCCAGCUGUUCCUCUGCAAACAGGCUAACCGAGACUUUGCCAGCCCCUUUCUCUGCAGCCUGAUGCUUCAUGUUCGUAGAGAGCAAGGCCCCUCACUCAUCCCACCUUGGCCAUGCUUUUGUGUCCCUAGAGGUUACAAAUGCUGGCUGCCUAUUUCUGAGAUCAGCAGAAGUGACGCCUAGGCCACCACACCCACUGGUGACUGACACCUACCCCCUGCAAAGGAAGAAGUCCAGUAGGGAAAAUUCAAGUUGAUCUCCAAAUCCGAACAAUCCUGAGAGGUACCUGAGAAAAACAAGUUGGGAAAUGGUCAAAUCAAUAGAUUUUAUUUGCAACAUGGUUUGUGACUAAUACCAGGUAUGGCCUGGGGUAGGUGUCCAGGUCAUGUCUGCAAAAUAAGUGAAAUAGCUGCCACAGUUUGCUAAACUAUGAACCUAUUCCUUAAGGCUCUUAAAUGCGCUCUGCACCUCCCUGCCACUGUGUGCUAAAGAUGGAUGCACCGCAUUUGGGUGAGCAUUUGCAGGGCAUGAGCCUGGGUGAGUGCUUACCUGUCCUCCCACUUCAGAAACAUCCCCUUAACACCUGUAUGUAGACUCUUGGGUUUAAGGACAAAACUCGGUGGCUUUUAACCCAAAAUACUUAAUAAUUACAAAGAUAAAAGCAAGCAGCAGGCAAUAGUCAAGAGCAGCAGUAGGCUAGGGUGUGCUCGUCCUGGCCCCUACAUGGUUUCUCUUAAUCCCACAAAGGCCACGUGCUGACUGUGAUGGAUGCUAUCAUCAUCUUACAUGAGAAAACGUGCAUCAUCCUUGCUGUCUGUUCACAAGGAUACAACUGCAACGUGGUAGAGUCGGACUGGAGAGCAGUCUGCCUGAGUCUAAACCUGCUCUCUUGAUGGCCCCUUCUGACCCAGAACCAGUAGCAAGCCUAAAUAAUGACAAAAAAAAAAAAAAAGAGCA